rnacentral:rRNA from 1 species
CCCAAAAACAUAGCCAACUGCUAAAACAAUUAAAGUAUAGUUGGUGAAGCCUGCCCACUGAUUUAUGCUAAUAACAUAAGUUCAAGGGCCGCGGUAACUCUGACCGUGCUAAGGUAGCAUAAUCAAUUGCCACAUAAUUUGUGGCUAGUAUGAAAGGUUUUACAAGCUUUCCUCUGUCUCAAUUACACACUUAUCGAAAUUUAAAUAGCUGUGAAGAUUCAGCUUCUUUCUGGUAGGACGAGAAGACCCCGUUGAGCUUAACUUUAAGCCCUAGCAUUUUUAAUAUUAGAAAAAUAUGUGAUGUUAUUGGGCAGGUAAGUUUGGUUGGGGCGACCACCUAAAUAUAAGUAACUUAGGUAAGCUAAGGUUAAAUAUUAAUAUAGUAAGCUUGACUGUAGGACCUAUAGGUCUAUCAGAUAGUAAUACUAAGCUAUAGUGACCCUGUUAGUAUUCUAACAGCAAUUAGAUAAAAGUUACCACGGGGAUAACAGGGUUAUCUAGUAACAAAGUCCAUAUUGAAGACUAGGUUUGCCACCUCGAUGUUGAAUAGCAGUAUCCUAGGGGUGCAGCAGCUCCUGAUGGUUGGUCUGUUCGACCAUUAAA